ACGGGAGGCAGCAGUGGGGAAUAUUGCGCAAUGGGCGAAAGCCUGACGCAGCGACGCCGCGUGGGGGAUGACGGCCUUCGGGUUGUAAACCUCUUUCAGCAGGGACGAAGCGCAAGUGACGGUACCUGCAGAAGAAGCACCGGCCAACUACGUGCCAGCAGCCGCGGUAAUACGUAGGGUGCAAGCGUUGUCCGGAAUUAUUGGGCGUAAAGAGCUCGUAGGCGGUUUGUUGCGUCGGCUGUGAAAUCCCGAGGCUCAACCUCGGGUCUGCAGUCGAUACGAGCAAACUAGAGUGUUGCAGGGGAGACUGGAAUUCCUGGUGUAGCGGUGAAAUGCGCAGAUAUCAGGAGGAACACCGGUGGCGAAGGCGGGUCUCUGGGCAACAACUGACGCUGAGGAGCGAAAGCGUGGGGAGCGAACAGGAUUAGAUACCCUGGUA
rnacentral:rRNA from 1 species